UGGGGGGCCUUCGGGAGGCAGCAGUGGGGAAUUUUGGACAAUGGGCGCAAGCCUGAUCCAGCAAUGCCGCGUGAGUGAAGAAGGCCUUCGGGUUGUAAAGCUCUUUUGUCAGGGAAGAAACGGCUCAGGCUAAUAUCCUGGGCUAAUGACGGUACCUGAAGAAUAAGCACCGGCUAACUACGUGCCAGCAGCCGCGGUAAUACGUAGGGUGCAAGCGUUAAUCGGAAUUACUGGGCGUAAAGCGUGCGCAGGCGGUUUUGUAAGUCUGACGUGAAAGCCCCGGGCUCAACCUGGGAAUUGCGUUGGAGACUGCAAGGCUUGAAUCUGGCAGAGGGGGGUAGAAUUCCACGUGUAGCAGUGAAAUGCGUAGAGAUGUGGAGGAACACCGAUGGCGAAGGCAGCCCCCUGGGUCAAGAUUGACGCUCAUGCACGAAAGCGUGGGGAGCAAACAGGAUUAGAUACCCUGGUAGUCCACGCCCUAAACGAUGUCUACUAGUUGUCGGGUUUUAAUUAACUUGGUAACGCAGCUAACGCGUGAAGUAGACCGCCUGGGAGACU
rnacentral:rRNA from 1 species